GUUACUGCUAUCGGAGUUCGAUUAAGCCAUGCGAGUCUAAAGGUUUCUUCGGAAACCUUGGCGGACUGCUCAGUAACAUGUGGAUAACCUACCCUUAGGACUGGGAUAACCCCGGGAAACUGGGGAUAAUACCGGAUAGAUCAAGGAUCGCUGGAAUGCGCCUUGAUCCAAAGCUCCGGCGCCUAAGGAUGGGUCUGCGGCCUAUCAGGUUGUAGUGGGUGUAACGUACCUACUAGCCGGCGACGGGUACGGGUUGUGAGAGCAAGAGCCCGGAGAUGGAUUCUGAGACACGAAUCCAGGCCCUACGGGGUGCAGCAGGCGCGAAACCUUUACAAUGUGCGAAAGCAUGAUAAGGGAACUCCGAGUGCCAGCAUCUAAUGUUGGCUGUCCUUGUGCCUAAAACGCACGAGAUAGCAAGGGCCGGGUAAGACCGGUGCCAGCCGCCGCGGUAACACCGGCGGCCCGAGUGGUAGCCGCUAUUAUUGGGCCUUAAGGGUCCGUAGCCGGUUCGGUAAGUCCUCUGGGAGAUCUGGUUGCUUAACAAUCAGGCUGCCAAGGGAUACUGCCGAACUUGAGACCGGGAGAGGUAAGAGGUACUUCAGGGGUAGGAGUGAAAUCUUGUAAUCCCUGGGGGACCGUCUGUGGCGAAGGCGUCUUACCAGAACGGGUCUGACGGUGAGGGACGAAAGCUGGGGGCGCGAACCGGAUUAGAUACCCGGGUAGUCCCAGCCGUAAACGAUGCUCGCUAUGUGUCAGGUAUGGUGCGACCAUAUCUGGUGCCGUAGGGAAGCCGUGAAGCGAGCCACCUGGGAAGUACGGCCGCAAGGCUGAAACUUAAAGGAAUUGGCGGGGGAGCACUACAACGGGUGGAGCCUGCGGUUUAAUUGGAUUCAACGCCGGA
rnacentral:rRNA from 1 species